CAAUAGCAUAUAUUAACGUUGUUGCAGUUGAAAAGCUCGUAGUUGAACUUUUGGUAGGAGCGACCUGGCCUUGGGCGCAUGCCCUUGUUUGCCGUGUGUCGUAUCUGGCCAUCCUUUUCCGUUUCGGCGGGAAUCUUUUACUGUGAGUAAACUGGAGUGCUCAAAACAAGACGUUUGUUUGGUACAUUAAAGCAUGGAAUAAUAAGAUAGGACCUGGUUACUAUUUUGUUGGUUUGCAUAGCUAGGUAAUGAUUAACAGGGACAGUUGGGGGUAUUCGUAUUUAAUUGUCAGAGGUGAAAUUCUUGGAUUUAUGAAAGACGAACGACUGCGAAAGCACUUACCAAGGAUGUUUUCAUUAA
rnacentral:rRNA from 1 species